UACGUAGGGUGCGAGCGUUAAUCGGAAUUACUGGGCGUAAAGCGUGCGCAGGCGGUGAUGUAAGACCGAUGUGAAAUCCCCGGGCUUAACCUGGGAACUGCAUUGGUGACUGCAUUGCUAGAGUAUGGCAGAGGGGGGUGGAAUUCCACGUGUAGCAGUGAAAUGCGUAGAGAUGUGGAGGAACACCGAUGGCGAAGGCAGCCCCCUGGGCCAAUACUGACGCUCAUGCACGAAAGGCGUGG
rnacentral:rRNA from 1 species